rfam:Schistosoma mansoni, Puerto Rico, WGS project CABG01000000 data, contig: 0049
AUCCAACUAACGAGUCUCAAAUAAGACUAAACGCGCGUUCUGCAU